AGUUCCUAUGAUUCUGUAUUUAAAUUGAUCUAUCUUAAUUUCCUUUAUCUAAAUUCCUUAGAUUCAAAGUCAGAAGACCUGGCUUUAAGCUUUGGUUCUGCCAUCCACUAGCUAUGUGACCUUCUGGCUCCUUUUCCUCUUCUAUAAUUUGAGAGAGCUGGCAUAGCUGGAGUAGAUAACAGUGAGGCAGGGAAACUGAAAAGGCUCCGUUUCUGCUGUUUUCCUGCUAGGCCCUAUUCACUCACAUUCUAUAUUUCACCUGGCAUCUGAGUAAAAACCAGAGAAGCUGCAUUCCCACUCCAAGGGGGAAGCAAGAGAGUUAAGCAUUCUCUGAAUUCCAUCCUUGGCCCCCAAACACCUGCCAAUGGCUAAGAAGAGCCGGGUACCAAACAUGUUCUAGAACAUUAGCUUCUAACAAACCUGAGUUGACGCAGGCAUCAACGUUCCUACCUUCAGCAGUUAACGAAAUAGCACCUAUAAUUCACUGGUCACUGACCUUUGGUCGGAUCCUAUCCUGGAUUCCUGAAGGAACACAUAUCCAGGACCCCUUUCCAAUGGAAACCCUUAACCCUCAGCAACCCCUAACUGCCCCCCCUCCAACUCUCUUUUCCUUUCCGAGUCUCCCAGACACACUGUCUGCUAUUCUCCGUCACUCAAGCUACUCAGUGAACUCCUUUCACUUCCCUCUUGCUCUUAUUUUACUUCUAUCCUGUGCAAAGCCAAGGAGCCUCUUGGCUGGGCCUGCGGGACCCCCUUCUGGAUCCUUGGACCCAGGAUCUCAGGCUCCUAACUGGGUGUGGAGCCCCCACACAGGCAAACCCACCACCCUAAGCUGAAGACCUGAGCUGAGAUCAAGCUUCAGAUGCUCAACCCACUGAGCCUCCCAGACGCCACUUGGAGUGUGUCAUUUAUCCACUGAAUCAUUUAAAACAAAUAUCACUUAUGGCUGUCUGGUGGGCAGUGUGAAGCCCUGAGGAAUCCGAAGGUAAAGUCAAUGGACACUUCCCAGAACCUGUAGCAUUUCUGUCCGAUCUUUCCUCAGUAAUUUUUUGUACAAGCAAAAGUGCUUGAAACUUCUCUCCAAUUACAGAAACAGUUCCACCUCUCUCUUCUGUAGUUUCUGCUCCUUGAAAGACCCUGUCGAGCCCCGUCCAGGACCACCUUAGGCUUGGACUGAUGCACUCUGGAGACUGUGGCAGAAGCUGGUGGUGGCCCAUAUCCCCCAGCCCCUCUGAGACCACCUGCAGCUGCCGUGGACGGUUCCCAACAUGCUGAUGGCAUCCCCCCCUCCACGUUCUCAAACCUAAUUCUUUAUCAUUCUCAAGUUUUCUGAAAUCAAUUAUUAACAAAG